rnacentral:rRNA from 1 species
UACGGAGGGUGCAAGCGUUAAUCGGAAUUACUGGGCGUAAAGCGCACGCAGGCGGUCUGUCAAGUCGGAUGUGAAAUCCCCGGGCUCAACCUGGGAACUGCAUUCGAAACUGGCAGGCUAGAGUCUUGUAGAGGGGGGUAGAAUUCCAGGUGUAGCGGUGAAAUGCGUAGAGAUCUGGAGGAAUACCGGUGGCGAAGGCGGCCCCCUGGACAAAGACUGACGCUCAGGUGCGAAAGCGUGGGGAGCAAACAGGAUUAGAUACCCUGGUAGUCCACGCCGUAAACGAUGUCGACUUGGAGGUUGUGCCCUUGAGGCGUGGCUUCCGGAGCUAACGCGUUAAGUCGACCGCCUGGGGAGUACGGCCGCAAGGUUAAAACUCAAAUGAAUUGACGGGGGCCCGCACAAGCGGUGGAGCAUGUGGUUUAAUUCGAUGCAACGCGAAGAACCUUACCUACUCUUGACAUCCAGAGAACUUAGCAGAGAUGCUUUGGUGCCUUCGGGAACUCUGAGACAGGUGCUGCAUGGCUGUCGUCAGCUCGUGUUGUGAAAUGUUGGGUUAAGUCCCGCAACGAGCGCACCCUUAUCCUUUGUUGCCAGCGGUUAGGCCGGGAACUCNAAGGAGACUGCCAGUGAUAAACUGGAGGAAGGUGGGGAAUGACGUCAAGUCAUCAUGGCCCUUACGAGUAGGGCUACCACGUGCUACAAUGGCGCAUACAAAGAGAAGCGACCUCGCGAGA